CAGCAGCCACGGUAAUACGUAGGUGGCAAGCGUUGUCCGGAAUUAUUGGGCGUAAAGGGCUCGCAGGCGGUUUCUUAAGUCUGAUGUGAAAGCCCCCGGCUCAACCGGGGAGGGUCAUUGGAAACUGGGAAACUUGAGUGCAGAAGAGGAGAGUGGAAUUCCACAUGUAGCGGUGAAAUGCGUAGAGAUGUGGAGGAACACCAGUGGCGAAGGCGACUCUCUGGUCUGUAACUGACGCUGAGGAGCGAAAGCGUGGGGAGCGAACAGGAUUAGAUACCCCGGUAGUCCCUGUCUCUUAUAC
rnacentral:rRNA from 1 species